rnacentral:rRNA from 1 species
AGAAUCAACGCUGGCGGCGUGCCUAACACAUGCAAGUCGCACGAGAAAGGGACUUCGGUCCUGAGUACAGUGGCGUACGGGUGAGUAACACGUGAAUAAUCUACCUCCGAGUGGGGAAUAACUGAGAGAAAUCUUAGCUAAUACCGCAUAACACUUACGAGUCAAAGCAGCAAUGCGCUUGGAGAGGAGUUCGCGGCAGAUUAGUUAGUUGGCGGGGUAAUGGCCCACCAAGACGAUGAUCUGUA